rnacentral:rRNA from 1 species
UACGUAGGGCGCAAGCGUUGUCCGGAAUUAUUGGGCGUAAAGAGCUCGUAGGCGGCUUGUUGCGUCGGUUGUGAAAGCCCGGGGCUUAACCCCGGGUCUGCAGUCGAUACGGGCAGGCUAGAGUGUGGUAGGGGAGAUCGGAAUUCCUGGUGUAGCGGUGAAAUGCGCAGAUAUCAGGAGGAACACCGGUGGCGAAGGCGGAUCUCUGGGCCAUUACUGGCGCUGAGGAGCGAAAGCGUGGGGAGCGAACAGG